GACGAACGCUGGCGGCGUGCUUAACACAUGCAAGUCUAACGGAAAGGCCCUGCUUUUGUGGGGUGCUCGAGUGGCGAACGGGUGAGUAACACGUGAGUAACCUGCCCUUGACUUUGGGAUAACUUCAGGAAACUGCGGCUAAUACCGGCUAGUAGCUCCUGCCGCAUGGUGGGGGUUGGAAAGUUUCGGCGGUUGGGGAUGGACUGGCGGCUUAUCAGUUUGUUGGUGUGGUAGUGGCCUACCAAGGCUUUGACGGGCAGCCGGCCUGGGGGCGUGACCGGGCACAUUGGGACGGGGAAACGGCCCAGACGGCAACGGGCGGCCGCAGGGGGGGAUUUUGGCAAGUGGGGGGGAGGAUGAUGCAGAAACGCCGGGUGGGGGAAGACGGCCUUGGGGGUGUAAAACCGUUUACCCUGAGGAGAAGCGUGAGGAGCGGGAAUGGGAAAAGAAGCACCGGCUAACUCCGG
rnacentral:rRNA from 1 species